GACGAACGCUGGCGGCGUGCUUAACACAUGCAAGUCGAACGCUGAAGCUUGGUGCUUGCACUGGGUGGAUGAGUGGCGCACGGGUGAGUAAUACGUGAGUAACCUGCCCUUGACUCUGGGAUAAGCCUGGGAAACUGGGUCUAAUACUGGAUACGACAUGCCACUGCAUGGUGGUGUGUGGAAAGGGUUUUACUGGUUUUGGAUGGGCUCACGGCCUAUCAGCUUGUUGGUGGGGUAAUGGCCUACCAAGGCGACGAUGGGUAGCCGGCCUGAGAGGGUGACCGGCCACACUGGGACUGAGACACGGCCCAGACUCCUACGGGAGGCAGCAGUGGGGAAUAUUGCACAAUGGGCGGAAGCCUGAUGCAGCGACGCCGCGUGAGGGAUGACGGCCUUCGGGUUGUAAACCUCUUUCAGCACGGAAGAAGCGAGAGUGACGGUACGUGCAGAAGAAGCGCCGGCUAACUACGUG
rnacentral:rRNA from 1 species